rnacentral:rRNA from 1 species
UGCCAGCCGCCGCGGUAAUACGGAAGGUCCAAGCGUUAAUCGGAAUUACUGGGCGUAAAGCGCGCGUAGGUGGUUUUUUAAGUUGGAUGUGAAAGCCCUGGGCUCAACCUAGGAACUGCAUCCAAAACUAGAUGACUAGAGUACGAAAGAGGGAAGUAGAAUUCACAGUGUAGCGGUGGAAUGCGUAGAUAUUGUGAAGAAUACCAAUGGCGAAGGCAGCUUCCUGGUUCUGUACUGACACUAAGGUGCGAAAGCGUGGGUAGCGAACAGGAUUAGAUA